CAGUCGCCGCGGUAAUACGAAGGGUGCAAGCGUUAAUCGGAAUUACUGGGCGUAAAGGGUGCGUAGGCGGUUGUUUAAGUCUGUUGUGAAAGCCCUGGGCUCAACCUGGGAAUUGCAGUGGAUACUGGGUCACUAGAGUGUGGUAGAGGAUAGUGGAAUUUCCGGUGUAGCAGUGAAAUGCGUAGAGAUCGGAAGGAACAUCUGCGGCGAAGGCGACUAUCUGGGCCAACACUGACACUGAGGCACGAAAGCGUGGGGAGCAAACAGGAUUAGAUACCCCAGUAGUCCCUGUCUCUUAUAA
rnacentral:rRNA from 1 species